UGCAACUGGAAGUAAGGGUGUUGAAUGCAUAGGCUAAAUGAAAGGCAAACAUAUAAGUAAACUUAGUGCUGUGCUGAGAAGUAAACUUUACGGUUGGAAAAGAGCCAAGCAUGUGUAUAAUUUCUGCAAUUCUUGUGACAAGUGCAGCAAAGCAAUGUUUAACCUUGAACAUGAAAGAAAACUGUAUAUACACUGUGCCACCAUGGUAAUGCAUAUUAAGAUAAAGCAAAACAUGUUAAAUGCAGCUGUGUAAAAUGAUGAACUUGUAGAUUAACAAUGUAUGGAAAAACAAAGCUUAAAACUAAAUG
rnacentral:lncRNA from 1 species